UACGGGGGGGGCAAGCGUUGUUCGGAAUUACUGGGCGUAAAGGGCUCGUAGGCGGCCAACUAAGUCAGACGUGAAAUCCCUCGGCUUAACCGGGGAACUGCGUCUGAUACUGGAUGGCUUGAGUUUGGGAGAGGGAUGCGGAAUUCCAGGUGUAGCGGUGAAAUGCGUAGAUAUCGGGAGGAACACCUGCGGUGUAGACGGCUUACUGGACCGCCACUGACGCUGAGGCACGAAAGCGUGGGUAGCAAACAGG
rnacentral:rRNA from 1 species